rnacentral:snRNA from 1 species
AACGUUGUGCAGUGGCAGUAUCAUACCCAAUGAGGUUUAUCCGAGGCACAAUUAUUGCUAACUGAAAACUUUUCCCAUAAAGGAAAUUUUAGUUGGAAUUGUGUGAUGAGGUAUAAUGUUGGGAUGAAUGAAAUAUG